GCUAUCUCUCCAGCCUGGCCCCCUCCACUUCUUGACACCCAGCCCCAUGCUGGGAGGAGGCAUAGCCCAGCCCACUGAGGCCCACAGGGUUAAGAGAUGCUAGAAUCUUGGAGCAUCAUAAGUGGUGGUUUUACGACUCUGCAUUUUAGGAGCACUGGCUUCUCAGCCUUCCAUCUGGAACACACUGUGUAGGUGAGAGAAAUCCAUCUGUCCCCGAGUCUGAUGCCUAUACAAGGAAUUAGAGUUAGCUGCAAAAGUCUGCAUGUUGACCAGAGGCAGAUACAUGGAGGAGUCUGCUAAAAAUCAGGGGGGAAGUUCACGAGCAACUCGGGCAUGCUGCCAUCGCAGUGCUGUGCAGCCAACAUUGGACUCGACAGAAACCAUCUUUCUUUGAGAAGGUGGAAAGUGAAGACGCAUCCGUGUCCACACUCGCCUCCAUGCCCAGAUUCCAGCACCUGAAAGCUACAUCCGUGUUCUCUGAAUUUCUGGUUGGACUUAAACUCUUGAUGCAA